UCUUCCGUAGUAUAGUGGUCAGUAUGCAAGCUUGUCACGCUUGAGACCCGGGUUCAAGUUCAAUUCCCGGCGGGAGAG
rnacentral:tRNA from 1 species